GAAUUUUAUGAAAUUAAAGUAUUCAAUUUUUUUUAUAAUUAUUAUUCUAUUCAGUAAAUGAUUAAAUUGAUAAAAGGUUAAAGUUAAGGGUGAUAUGUGCAAAUUUUGCAAAGUAAGCAAAUUUUCAUAAAAGAGCUACCGCCAUAUUCCAUGGUCAGUUAUAUCAACACAAGAUUGCUUGGUCCUACAACAAGAAGGUCUG
rnacentral:lncRNA from 1 species